AUGCCACCAGGAUGGGAUGUCCUGAGCUCCAUCGCAGCCUGCUCCCACCGCUCCUGCCGCCUCCUCCAUCCUCCGCGGGAUGUUUUCCCACCCUUGCUCCUCUCCUUGCUCCAUCCCCAGCGGGUCCCUGGGGUGUCGGUGGCCCCCAGCCUGCAGCCCCACAGCGGGGCAGGGGCUCAGCACAAACGGAGCCCGAUCCCACUGCUCCCACCAGGCUCUCCACCCCAGGAUCCCGGGAUGAGAGGCUGGAGCACCGUUCUCUUUUUCCUUACUGCAAAACUACAUUUAAAAUAUAAAAAAUCCCCGAGGCGUUUUCCUGCCGCGGGAGAGCCGCGAUGGCCCCGGCAGCUCCCGGCUGCGGCCGCCAGAGGGCACCGGAGCGACAGCGGCAGCGGCGUGUCACUGUCCCUGUGUCCCUGUGUCCCUGUCCUUGUGUCUGUGUCCCUGUGUCCCUGUCCCUGUGUCUGUGUGUCCCUGUGUCCCUGUCCUUGUGUCUGUGUGUCCCUGUGUCUGUGUUUCUGUGUCUCUGUGUCCCUGUCCUUGUCCCUGUGUCCCCGUCCUGUCCCUGUGUUAUUAUCCCUGUGUUCCUUUCCCUGUCUCUUUGUCCUUGUCCCUGUGUCCCUGUCCCGUGUCUGUCCCUGUGUCCCUGUCCCCAUCCCUGUUCCCGUCUGUGUCCGUGUCCCUGUCCGUGUGUCAGCAGGGACCAAACCCAGGCAGGGCUGCUCCAAGCCCAUCCAGCCUGGCCUUGGACACUUCCAGGGAGCCCCAGCUGCUCUGGGAAUUCUAUUCCAGGGCCUGCCCACCCUGCCAGGGAACAAUUCCUGCCCCAGAUCCCAUCCAGCCCUGCCCUCUGGCACUGGCAGCCAUUCCCUGUGUCCUGUCCCUGCAGGCCUUGUCCCCAGUCCCUCUCCAGCUCUCCUGGAGCCCCUUCAGGCCCUGCAAGGGGCUCUGAGCUCUCCCUGCAGCUUCUCCUCUCCAGGUGAGCACCCCCAGCUCUCCCAGCCUGGCUCCAGAGGGGCUCCAGCCCUGGAGCAGCUCCAGGGGCUCCUCUGGAAUCUCUCCAGCAGCUCCAGGUGCUGCUGCUGUUGGAGCCCAGGCUGGAGGCAGCUCUGA
rnacentral:lncRNA from 1 species